AUGGAAAUGCCCUUGUCCAUUAUAAAAGAGUCAGAGAGCCGUGUCUCUCUACAGUCAGAGGUUUUUGUACGGCGCCUCAAUGAGUUUGUAUCACUGUGGUGGACUUUUGGUGGAGGAACCAGACUGGAUGUUGGACGUGAUGCCCGUCCCGUCCUGACAGUGUUGCCCCCCUCCAGUGAGGAGCUACAGCAGGGGACUGCAACAAUCACAUGUCUGGCCAACAAGGGCUUCCCCUCAGACUGGAGUCUGUCCUGGAAGGUGGAUGGCAGUGGCAGCAUCAGCUGGGAGGAGAGCAGGAGCCCCGUGGUGCUGCAGAACGACGGCCUCUACAGCUGGAGCAGCACCCUGAGGCUCCCUGCAGACCGCUGGAUGAAGGUGGGCUCUGUGACCUGUGAGGCCACCCAGGGCUGCCAGGCUCUGGUCUCAGAGCCACUGAGGAGAGACCAGUGUUCCCAGUCCUGACCUGACUCAACCUGAUACUGGUUUAAUGCUCUCAUUCUCAACUCUGUAACUGUCUCUCCAUCUUUCUUUUUGAAGAACAAAUAAAGACUAAAACUGUUAUUUUCUUUCUCAUAAUGACAACAUUCAUGUUUUAGGUAAUAAAGAUGUUUUGCAAAGUGAA